GCCAGAGGGCUCAGCCCGCACAGAACCCCGGGGAGGGUCCUCCCACCCCACUCGGAGGAGGUGAUCGCUAAGGGGAAAGAAGCCUAUCCCUGAGACGAAGAGCCCCAGUUUGCAGGGCUCCCACUUCUCCGUUAGGAAACCGAGGUGUCCGGAGUCCCGAGGCACCCUAGACAGCCGCUGCCCGACCUCGACCUUGAAUGUUGUAGCGGAACAGCCGAAACCAGGCUGAGGGCUUUUGGAAGGGACGAGCAGGCCACCGUCUUCCACUCGAUUUCCCAAGACUGAAAAUAAGGAUGUUGUUGGGGAGAGGGUGACGUUGGUCACGUGAUGUGGAGGGCUUUAUGACUGGAGCCAGGGUCACCUUUCACCCCGAUCUACAAGGAAUUCCCACACCCUCCCCCUUCUACGUUACUACCUGGCCCGCCCCCUCCCCCCCUCCGCCGGACUUCCCUAGAGACGACGCUCCCCGGGAGUUUUCUUGGCCCCGCCCACAAACCCAACUCUGAGUCUGAUUGGACGGCAACAAAGGGAGGCUCCGCCUAUGGUUCCAGGACAAAGCAGACAGCCCCUCUCAGACUAGAAAGUUCAUCUGGUCCCCCCAGACUAGGCCCUCAGUGGUGGGGUUGCCGUGCUGGGGGCUGGGGUGAACUCGUAAGUCUGGGUGGAGGAGAAGGAUGGGAGCCUAGCUCGUGGGUGCUGGGAUGAAGAUUGCUGGAGACGGGCUCUUGGGUGUGGACCCCUGGAUGCCUGGGUCUUCCCCUGCCUCAGGUCCCAACAGCACCCCCGCCCUGGUGGCUUCCUGGCCCCACUGUUCCUGUCAGGCUUUGCCCCAGCUCCCAGCACUGGCUGCAGGACAGGAAAAGGCAAGAGGAAACCCAUGCCAGUGAGGCCCUGCCACGACGAAGGGACACGGUUCCUGGUCUCUCUUUCUAGGACAGGAGACCAGCCCAGACCUCUCCUCUGGGGAAACCAAAACCGAGGGUCAGACCUGAGGAAAUGAACCUGAUGUAGAGACAACCAGAUAAAUCUUUAUUUGCGCCUUGGCA